rnacentral:misc_RNA from 1 species
CCGAGUUCCGCCCUUUCUACAAGGGCGCCUCCCACCCUUUGAUUACUGCUCGUUGCUUCGGCGAGCCGACAGCAUUCGCUGCCGUCGGGUCACUAAUCGGGCGAGCGCUCGCCGAAGUUUUUAACACUUUACUAAGAGUCUGAUUAAAUUGAGAAUUAAAAA